rnacentral:rRNA from 1 species
UACGGGGGGGGCAAGCGUUGUUCGGAAUUACUGGGCGUAAAGGGUUCGUAGGUGGCCAACUAAGUCAGACGUGAAAUCCCUCAGCUUAACUGGGGAACUGCGUCUGAUACUGGAUGGCUUGAGUGUGGGAGAGGAAUGCGGAAUUCCAGGUGUAGCGGUGAAAUGCGUAGAUAUCUGGAGGAACACCGGUGGCGAAGGCGGCAUCCUGGACCGACAUUGACGCUGAUGAGCGAAAGCUAGGGGAGCAAACGGG